UACGUAGGUGGCGAGCGUUGUCCGGAUUUACUGGGCGUAAAGGGCGUGCAGGCGGUUUGUUAAGUGCAGAGUGAAAGCUCCCGGCUCAACUGGGAGAGGUCUUUGCAUACUGGCAAACUCGAGGGAGGCAGAGGAAAGUGGAAUUCCCGGUGUAGUGGUGAUAUGCGUAGAUAUCGGGAGGAACACCUGUGGCGAAGGCGGCUUUCUGGGCCUUACCUGACGCUGAGACGCGAAAGCGUGGGGAGCGAACCGG
rnacentral:rRNA from 1 species